rnacentral:rRNA from 1 species
CCUAGCCUGCAAGUUCGAACGGCAGCGCGAGGAGCUUGCUCCUUGGCGGCGAGUGGCGGACGGGUGAGUAACGCGUAGGAAUCUGCCUAAUAGUGGGGGAUAACCCGGGGAAACUCGGGCUAAUAUCGCAUAAUCUCUUCGGAGCAAAGUGGGGGACCUUCGGGCCUUACGCUAUUAGAUGAGCCUGCGUCGGAUUAGCUUGUUGGUGGGGUAAAGGCCUACCAAGGCAACGAUCCGUAGCUGGUCUGAGAGGAUGAUCAGCCACACUGGGACUGAGACACGGUCCAGACUCCUACGGGAGGCAGCAGUGGGGAAUAUUGGACAAUGGGGGAAACCCUGAUCCGGCAAUGCUGCGUGUGUGAAGAAGGCCUUCGGGUUGUAAAGCACUUUCAGCGGGGAAGAAAAAACAAAGGGUAAUAUCCUUUGGAAUUGACGUUACCCGCAGAAGAAGCACUGGCUAACUCUGUGCCAGCAGCCGCGGUAAUACAGAGAGUGCAAGCGUUAAUCGGAAUUACUGGGCGUAAAGCGCACGUAGGUGGAUACUUAAGUCGGAUGUGAAAGCCCUGGGCUUAACCUAGGAAUUGCACCCGAUACUGGGUAUCUAGAGUAUGGUAGAGGGUAGUGGAAUUUCCGGUGUAGCGGUGAAAUGCGUGGAUAUCGGAAAGAACAUCAGUGGCGAAGGCGGCUACCUGGACCAAUACUGACACUGAGGUGCGAAAGCGUGGGGAGCAAACAGGAUUAGAGACCCUGGUAGUCCACGCCGUCAACGAUGAGAACUGGCUGUUGGGAGGGACUUCCU